GAUCUGGGAGAGAGUGGACUCAUUUUCUCAGUUCUCACUGAGAACUCUCCAGACGCCAGGCAGAGUGCCGAGCGGUCGGAAUACAGAGAUGCCCAGCAAGCUCACCGUUGACAAGGACCAGAGUUCCAAGCAAAAGGCUCCAAGUACAAACGACCCAGGAGCGAAGGUCUCUUUCAGGGGAAGAGGGCGAGGUGGACACCGACUCUUUCCAGACACGCAUCCACGGCUCCAGUGCAGGGAAGAAAGAGGCUGAUGAAGAAUGGGAGCCUCACCAGGGUACGUCCGCCUUCCGUCCCAACAGACCAUUUUAAACUGGAAGAGACAGCGCUCUCUUUAAGUAGCGAUUUCACGACUUCCUCUCUCCGCCUGCAUCACGGCGGCUCUGGAGCAACGAGACCAGUCAUGGAAGCUGACAGAAGUUUCUGCACGGCAGCGUAUACAUUUUGAUGCCUGACAUGAACCUCGAGAGCCGCCGGAUAACCUUCUCAUUCUGAGGCUUGCUGUUUAACUUUAUACACCGUCUGUUGGAUGAGAUGGCGUGGUAGGUGUGAUGUUUCACAGCCCGGAAGACUGGCUUCGCACUCUGGCCUCCGCCCGUGGCCACGAGGGCCAAAGCAGAGAGGUUUUCUGGAACUGACCGCUCUCCCACGCUCUUCAAGACCUACAGGCGGCUCGACAGGACUCCGAGGAUGGCUGCGGAUCACUCUCGACCUGGGAACCGUCUCUUCCCACCUCCCCCUGCAAGAGUAACAAACCGCCGAGCACACACCACAGAGCGAGCUGCCCCCUCAAGGGGCGCCAGCGAGGUCUGCACCGGGGCUUCUAGACUGUUCCUGGCCAACGGCCUGGGGGGGGAUCCAGGCCAGUCCCAGUGGAUGCUGUGCACACGUUCUUCAUGUCGACAGGACACUCCUGACUGCUCGGCGUUCUCCCUGAGCACGGGGAGCCCGAGACCCGCUCCCCGCCCCCUUCGGUUGCUACGACUGUAUUUCCUGGUCACACGUUCCUCCCGAACGGCUCACCCCCCACCACACGGCACGCGCCCGGCCUGCCGGACCCCGGGCAGCAGCAGGUUCUCAGCACGUCCUCUGACGAAGGGUUUGCCGUGUCAACAAGGACCUUGUCAACAAGCAUCUCUAGUCAGUUCCUAGGGACAGCCCCUCCUGUCCCCCACCCCAAACAUGGCAGCAAUCCACCGUUAGGCACAGGGCUGCCGGGGGCUCGGUGACGGCGGCAGCGGGGCGGCAGCGGGUCCCACGACCCGGACCUCCUCCAGGUGUCCGCUCCGCCCUCUGCCUCCUCUGUCCCACUUUUCUUGUUCUACUUAAAAUAUCUUGGAGGCUCUGC